UACGUAGGGUGCAAGCGUUGUCCGGAAUUAUUGGGCGUAAAGGGCUCGUAGGCGGUCCAUCGCGUCGGGAGUGAAAAGCUGGGGCUCAACCCCAGUCCUGCUUCCGAUACGGGUGGACUAGAGGUAUGCAGGGGAGAACGGAAUUCCUGGUGUAGCGGUGAAAUGCGCAGAUAUCAGGAGGAACACCGGUGGCGAAGGCGGCAUCCUGGACCAACACUGACGCUGAGGAGCGAAAGCCAGGGGAGCAAACGGG
rnacentral:rRNA from 1 species